GAUGAACGCUGGCGGCGUGCCUAAUACAUGCAAGUCGAGCGAACGGACGAGAAGCUUGCUUCUCUGAUGUUAGCGGCGGACGGGUGAGUAACACGUGGAUAACCUACCUAUAAGACUGGGAUAACUUCGGGAAACCGUAGCUAAUACCGGAUAAUAUUUUGAACCGCAUGGUUCAAAAGUGAAAGACGGUCUUGCUGGCACUUAUAGAUGGAUCCGCGCUGCAUUAGCUAGUUGGUAAGGUAACGGCUUACCAAGGCAACGAUGCAUAGCCGACCUGAGAGGGUGAUCGGCCACACUGGAACUGAGACACGGUCCAGACUCCUACGGGAGGCAGCAGUAGGGAAUCUUCCGCAAUGGGCGAAAGCCUGACGGAGCAACGCCGCGUGAGUGAUGAAGGUCUUCGGAUCGUAAAACUCUGUUAUUAGGGAAGAACAUAUGUGUAAGUAACUGUGCACAUCUUGACGGUACCUAAUCAGAAAGCCACGGCUAACUCCGUG
rnacentral:rRNA from 1 species